GGCGCCCAUCCCGGCCCUGCAAACAAAGGAAUUCAGCAAUUCCACACUAUUUGCGACAAAACCGGGAUCGGUAUUUUCCAAUUCAGUGACGGUGGCUACUCUCAGACUGGAUAAAGCCUCUCUGCCCACUUUGUGCAAUAAUUAGUCACUCGAUUUGCAAUUUUCUCCUUUCAAUCCCUUAUCGCGCCUGUUCCUCAUCCAAUUCCUCCAGCUUUCCUUUGCCUCCAAGUCCGCGCAUGUUUAAAACACAUCAGAUCGCGCACACGCAGGCAAGCAUAUGCAUUCCCGCCCCGAAUGCUGGGAAGAAACCCUGCCAUUGAGCAAUGAUAUUGAUAAAACAAAGAUAUGAAGGAAUAUGCUAGGAUGCAAGAUGAUGGGAUCCAUUGAUAAAAGUGCACGGUCCCUUAGCAUAUUUCUGUCCUCUUUCUGAUUAACAGCUGAACAAAAAGAUGUGAACACGCACUCAACGGGAAAAGAGUGUCCCGAAAUGAUUCUUGCCUUGUGGAGAUUUCGGAGACACAGUGAAGGAAUACAAGUCCAAACCCACCAAAAGCUGGACAAUAUCGUGACUUAAGCUAACAAGUGACGAGUAUCAUUUGCUUCGUGUAAAUGUCAAGCAAUUACAUUCUCAAAUAAAACAGAAUGUAAUCACAA